rnacentral:tRNA from 1 species
GCAUUGAUAGCUUACUUAGAGCAUAGCACUGAAGAUGCUAAGGCGACAAUAAUUGUCUCAAAGCA